rnacentral:pre_miRNA from 1 species
GUUGGUUAGAUGAAGGAAUUCUUCAACAUUAGAGGCCGAUGUGGAGUUAUGCUCUUGACCGGCCUCGAAUGUUAGGAGAAUGUUUUCCUCUACCUAAG